UUUUUUUUUUUUUUUUUUUUUAAUUUAUCGGUUUAUCGUUUUGUUUUACCGAAAUAAUUGCCGUCUAUUAUACCGCGUCGUUUCGUUUAGUGACCGUCGUCGAGUCCGUAUUGCCGUUUACCGCUACAAUAACAUCGUUAUUACGUUCGUUAUUCUACGCGAGCGUGAUUUCUACCAGACGUCGUGACGCCCGUAAAAUCCGGGGGAUAAAACGUAGGAAAACCGGGAAAAUUCACGAAAACGACGGUUUUAUUAAUAUUUAUUCGGUAGGUACGGGUACUCGGCGGGAGAAAUUGCUAGACCGAACAGAAAUAAUGGUUGAAAAUUUCACAGGAGUAUCUUUAUGAGACGCAUA